AUGGUAGACUGUUUACCUAAUGAAUCAGACUCUUGCUUUAGCUGCAGCCUGUGGUGCAGUGACGGUUUCUUGGCCCUUUCACAGGGGCUGGUUGGUUUUGUCAAGUACAGCUGUGGAGUUUGUCAUUGUAGAAGCCCAGUGGUCCCGGCGAGGCCUUCGCCAACUUUCGGUUCCCAAGGUAGUCCUGCUGUAAUUGUGGACCCGCCAUCCCCCUGUGGAUUACAGGAUUUCUGCCAGUUUACCUCCUGGGAUGAUGGUACUCUGUGGGGAAAAAAGGAGAAAUGAAAGUUGAACAUCAGCAUUAUUGCUAUCUAGCAUGGGCCAUUCUUCAGGAGCAGGACAUUUUAUAUUAAAAUCUCUCAGUGAGGAGGAAUUGUGAGAGAGGAAAGAUAAUCUUCGCCGGUGGCAAAGUGCCCAGGCUUCGUGGGAAGUCCACACUCCAUUCCCUGACAUCUGCCAGCGAGGGCCUUCAGCGACACCUCACUGUCUCUAGAAGUAAACGCUUUCCAAGAACACAGUAAGAAAUAUAUGUGCAGUCGUUC
ensembl:lncRNA